rnacentral:lncRNA from 1 species
UCCUCUGCUAAUUUCUGGUUUGAAGAUCAAUCUCAUUGCAAUGGGAAAGCAUAUCUUGCUGCUCCUACUGGGCCUGACUUUGCUGGUGAGCUCCCUGCAAGAUUCCUGUGGUCAUGAACCUUCAUGAAUGUGUUAUCUCAGCAUACAGCCAGCUCUUUUACUGGCUAUUGCUUAUUUAUUCACCAGAGCCACAAACUCAGCUCCAAUUGGUGCUUGAGUUUGGAGCCUGAAUGAGACCCUUACAUUGGCUUUUCAGCUUUGCAGUGCAUCCAAUGUGCAAGAAUCGAUUCUAGAGGAAUUUGUCGGCAUGAUAUAUAUAUAUGUGUCACGCUGAUUCUGAUGAGGUUUGUUCCUGGGUUGUAGCAACCACUCGAGGUAUGUAAGCUCUGGGAGCUCUGAUCGUAAUCUUGCUUGCCCUAGAGCAUUGAACCCAUCUCCACGAUGCUGAUGGCAAAUGCAGAAACUGAAGGUAGAUGUCUUUGCCGGUAAAAGUAUGAGGGAAAAGUUCUUUUCCUUCUCUUAAUGGCUCCCACUGACUGAGAGUCAGACCAAGAAAGAAAUGAUGAAAAAAAUGUUAUGAAAGAUGUCUAGGUGAUCCUUAGGCAAAUUCAGGGUGAAUAUAGUCUAGUAUGAUAGGAAUUGGAUUUUAAAAUUCCAUUCAGCACUCUUGGAAAUGAAGUCCCACCAGUGGGUUAGAUUAAUGGUUGAGGCAUCGUGUCCCAGUGAGCCCACUUCAGUUAUGGUUGUAUUUCUAUUGUACUUUCCAUCUGACUCUUCAAUGAUUCAUCAACUCUUUCCACUGAU